rnacentral:antisense_RNA from 1 species
UGUUAUGGCGGCUGUAUGUGGGGCGCACUCGUGCGCGCCGGGUUUUCCUUUUGCCUCGGUCUGUCAACCCACGUACAGCUGCCACCCGC